CCUGCAACGAGGAGACCCACCCAGCGGGGUUAGAGGACACAGUGCGGGAGGGGGAGGGGCGGGGGCGUGCCCGCCCUGGAUCCUCUGGCCCCGCCCGCGGGAAGCCUGGGAAAUCUGGAGCAAGUUCUAGACUCUCUUUCUCCGUGUGGUCCCGGAUAAGUCCCUGCUCCCAGCCGGGUCCAUUUCCUGUCUGUUACCACUGCCGAGAUGGAUGGAGAGAAUCGGACUCAGAAUGAGUGACACUGCGACUCGGUGGCAAAGAAAGGCACCUGGGUCGGCCCCCCUGCUGGAGAAGAGGCAACCCGGGGCUGGGAGAUCCCCCACCAUCCCCUUCAAGCCCCUCCGUACAGAAAGGCGCAGGGGCUGGAGAGGAGACCCCUAAGGGGCGCAGCCAGGCUCCUGUGCAGAAGGAAGAGUGAGUGGCCAAGGGCCAGACUCGGUAGCCCGGCCAGCUCAGCAAUAUCAAGACUGACCGCACAGGCUAACUGGUGUAAGUGGUUCCUUCUGCUACAAACUUGAACCCCUUUCCUUGGGGCCUGCAGAAGAUUCUAGCCUCCUUCUCUUCCCUUUAGCACCCCAUCUGCAGGCAUGGGGAAUGUGUGUGUGGAGGGGGAUGGGAAUUACCCAGCCCCCACCUGACUACCCUGCACAGAACCACCCUCCACCCACUAACCCAAGCAGGCGCCCUCUCGGGCAGCCGGUCUCAAAUCUUGGCGACUUUUCAGAGCUCUCUAGAGCAGAGGAUGACUCUGCCCUGGCCCAGUGACUGGGGACAGCUGCAGGGGGGGAAGGGACAGGAGGCUCUCUGGGGUGAAGGAGGGGGGAAGGGACAGCAGGCUGGGUGUCAUCAAAGUCAACACCCCACCAGUUUGCCACACCCUUCUCUCUCCCGGUAUCGGAGUGCUGCAGACUGUCAAACCCUGGCGGAAAUAACUGUGCUGUCAGACCCCGGAGGAACUCAGAUAAUUCUUAGGCCAGGAAGGGCCUUUAGGGGCCAUGGCGCCCACCCCCAUUUUACAGACGAGGCCACUGAGGCACAGCAAAGAGAAGGUACUCGGUCAAAGCCACACCCCAGGGACUAAAACUCAGAUCUUCAUCUACCCCCCCUCUCCCCCAGCUGUCUGCCCCCCCACCAUCCCUGGGCAUUGGGACGGGAUCCCCACACUCACACAAGCCAUGACUGAGGACCAGAGGAUGUUCCCGCGGAAUGCCUGCCACACCAGCUGUCUCAAGACUCAAGGGGAGAGGUGGGAUCCUGGGCCGCUCCCACCCUUUUAACGGGACCGGGCUCCGGUCAAGGGUCCCCCGUCCUGGGACUCCUCCUCCCUUGUUGCCCUGCAGUGGAGGCAGAGAACUCUGUGGAAUUCCUCCAUCCUACAGGCUGGACUUUGGCCGCUGUGGUGAGAUUCGAGCUCCGUACCCAAGGACAGGGGAUCCAGACCAGCAUGGCCCUUCCCAGCCUGCCCACUCCUGCCUGCCCUGCCCACGGGAAGGCUGUGCCUCCUCCUCCAGUGGGCAGUGGCUGGGAGGGCUGCCAGGCCCACGGAAACACCAUCCACACCCCUCAGCCAACCUGGCUGGCCCAGCCAGGGAUGGUGGGGCUGAUCAGAGCCAGCUCCAGAGUCCUACAAGUCAGAGCGGGAAUGGGCCCCAGAGAUUCUGCACCUGACCCACUCCCUCAUUUAAUGAUGCAGAAACCACCCUAAGAGGCUGGCCACUUGGCCAAGGUCACACAGGGAGCCAGGGCUGACCUGCUUUCCAUCUCCUGAGCCAAGGAGAGAAGAACACUGUGGUCCUGGGAUAUCUGGACCUCAAAAAAAAAAAAAAAAAAAAAAAUUUUUUUUUUUCCACUUGCUCCAUGAAG